rnacentral:rRNA from 1 species
UACGGAGGGGGCGAGCGUUAUUCGGAAUUAUUGGGCGUAAAGGGCGCGUAGGCGGCUUGGCAAGUCAAAGGUGAAAUCCCUCGGCUCAACUGAGGAACUGCCUUUGAAACUGCCUGGCUUGAGGCCGGGAGGGGGUAGCGGAAUUCCCAGUGUAGCGGUGAAAUGCGUAGAUAUUGGGAGGAACACCAGUGGCGAAGGGCGGCUACCUGGACCGGGUUCUGGACGCUGAGACGCGAAAGCGUGGGGGAGCGAACAGG